rnacentral:lncRNA from 1 species
UUGACUUUGAUGGUGAUUGUGUACAUAUAUAAGAUUUCACAACUUAGACUUCACAAGGAAGGUGGGGGUCACUUUUAGGACUAUUCGGGGUUUAUUUGGAAAUUCAUUUAUUUCUGAAUGUUUUUAUGUAGCUCUUCCAAAAUUACCAAUUAAGUUUACUAGGACUUAACAUUUCUUUAUUCAUUUAAGCCGAUUCCUCAUCCAAAAUUUGUUUUCACAACUAGAUAGUAACAUAUGACACUGAGAAAUUUACAACACCUUACUUAUUUCAUCAAUGAGUUACUGUAAAAAUUUGGGAUCCAUUGGAUUAGUACAAAAAUAAUUAAAAUUACUUUAUUAACCAAGGGCACCAUGUACUUAACCAUUUUUAUCUCAAAACCUACAGUGAUUCUGAGGGUGAAACUUUAACAGUGGGUUGGAAGCAUGUUGUAGAGACUUUGGUGAAUUUUUCAUGAUUUUUAGUGAAGGACAACUAUUUCCCAUAUAUUAAAUCUAUUUAUCUUGCUCUAAAAAGCAAGGUGGGUUUCAUCAAGUUUCAGUUAAGGUUUCCUAUUUACCUUGUGAACUACACAUCAAAACUAAGCUACUCUAAGUGGUUUCAUAUUUUUCUUAGCACUGGAUUAAAACUUAUGCAAAAAGAAAGAUUUAACCUUAGAUUUAAAAGGUAAGGUUACAACCGUGAUUUAAAGUUCUAACAGUAACAUGGGUAAGAUUAUUUUUAUAUGAAACUAGACAGUUCACUCAGCCCAAUAAAAUUUAUUUGGUAUUUUUCUGAUUUUUCUACAAUUUAUGGUGUAUUUACAAAUUUUAAUCUAUUUUCUACCGAUUUAAAACAAUUAACCAAAGUAGAUUUACAACCAGGCCCUCCGAAACUUUCUAAAAUCACAACCAUGCCCUAGGUUUUUAUGUCUAAGCCCCUAAUCGAGUUUUCCAAUCACAAACAUAUGCCUGGGCGGCGCUCGGAGGCCGAUUCCGGCGAUACGCCGGCGAGGGCCGGGCGACGAGCGGACGGGGAUGCGUACGGGCUCACCUUGUCUCGGUUUGAGGCAGUUGUGGGUGGUGGGGAUGGCCGGCGGAGGCGAAACGCGGGGGCGGUGAGCUU